AAGUCGUAACAAGGUUUCCGUAGGUGAACCUGCGGAAGGAUCAUUACUAGUUUAGGGUACUUAGUGCCCAAACUUCAACCCUUUGAUUUAAUUAAAUUGUUUCUUUGCCGAUUUCGAUCGGCAGAAGCCUUCUUAAACUCAUUUUAAAAUUGCCUCUGAAAUUUAAUAAAUAAAUAUUAUAAAACUUUCAACAACGGAUCUCUUGGUUCUG
rnacentral:misc_RNA from 1 species